rnacentral:rRNA from 1 species
AACGAACGCUGGCGGCAGGCCUAACACAUGCAAGUCGAGCGCUGUAGCAAUACAGAGCGGCGCACGGGUGAGUAACACGUGGGAACGUGCCCCUUCGGUUCGGAAUAACUCAGGGAAACUUGAGCUAAUACCGGAUACGUCCUUUGGGAGAAAGAUUUAUCGCUGAGGGAUCGGCCCGCGUCUGAUUAGCUAGUUGGUGAGGUAACGGCUCACCAAGGCGACGAUCAGUAGCUGGUCUGAGAGGAUGAUCAGCCUCACUGGGACUGAGACACGGCCCAGACUCCUACGGGAGGCAGCAGUGGGGAAUAUUGGACAAUGGGCGCAAGCCUGAUCCAGCCAUGCCGCGUGGGUGAUGAAGGCCCUAGGGUUGUAAAGCCCUUUCGGCGGGGAAGAUAAUGACGGUACCCGCAGAAGAAG